UUCCACAUAAACCCUAGAAUAAGUUUAUUAAUAUCUACAAAAUAACCUGCAGAAAUUUUGACUGGGGUUGUGUUGGAUUUGUAAUUUAUUUUGGGAAGAAAUUACAUUUUAAUGAGUCCUUCUUUCCAUGAACAUAGACUGUCCUUAUUUAUUUAGAUUGUAAUUUUUUAUUGAGUUUUCUAGUUUUCUUCCCAUAUAUCCUGUACAUAAUUUGUUUGGUAUGUACAUGGUAUUUCUUUCUCACUCUCUUUUCUUGGCAUUAAUAUAAAUAAUACUGUGUUUUAAUUAUAAAUUAUAAUUGUUCAUUGCUAAUAUACAAGAAAACAGCUGAUUUUGUAUAUUAACCUUUUAUUCUAUAACCAUGUUGUAAUUACUUUUUACAGUUUUUUGGUUUCAGCUAAUUGAUUAGAUUCAUCCUGGGAAAUUCAUGUUUCCUCUUGUGUAUAGCUGCAACAUCUCCACACAAUAUGUUUUUAGCUGGAACCUGAAACGCUGCAUGAUUUCACAUUUAACCAGUGAUUUGGGCAGAAACUAUGCAGAAGCACCUCAAACCGAAAUUACCGCAGCCACCCCACGUUCAGCAACCCUGACUGGGAGGAAGCUAUCAACAUCAAGGCAAGGUCUCUACCAGCAAAAAGACUGCAACUCACUGAAGGCUCAGGUGAUCACUAACAUUUUUUAUUAAUAGAGUAUUUUUAAAUUAAGGAAUGUACAUUACAGUUUAGGACAUCAUGCUGUUGCACACUUAAAGAGUACAAGAUAGUGUAAAUGUAACUUUUAAAUGCAUUGGGAAACCAAAAUUUGUGUGAAUUGCUUUAUUGUGGUGAUAGGAAGCACUCCCAGUAUGUGCGAGGUGUGCAUGUAUUUUUAUGAUCUUUGUAGAAGUCAAACAACUAGCUAUGGUACAUAUUUAGUGACUGCUUCUCAACUACCUGGGCUUUUGGUAGAGAAGACAUAGAUAUUAGGUCAUCAGUGAUGUCUAAGAAUUACAGUGUGCCCAGGAAAUAUAGACUCCUCAAAUCUUUUUAAAUUGAGUAUGCGGCUAUGUUUUGUGCUUACAUGUACAUAAUUUGAUUAAAGAAAAAGUUAUAGAAAUUUAAAGCAGAAUGGCCAACUAGAAGCAUUUUAUAUGUCCUUCAAAAUGUUUUCAUUCCCACCACUAUCCUUUUUGUCCCCAAGUAACAUCAUUUUGCAAAAAAGAGGGAGAGGUUGAUAUCUUUAGUGAAGUUACUCACUCUAAAACAAAACAUUUAGAUUUCUAACUGUAUUUAAGAUGGCUGAGUAUGUGAUUUGUAAUCAAUUAUAUUCAUGGCAUUUCUCUUUCCAAUAGUAUUGUCUUGAACUUGAAUAGGGUUUUUGUUUUCUAUGCAAAGAAGUAUCUCUUCCAGACUGGAAGAAAAUGUAAACUUCAAGCAGUAUUGACUUACCUAUCAAUCACUUAGUUAGUAUAUAUGAGCUUCUCAGAGAAGAAAUCAUAAACGUUGAGAGUUGCCACACAUAAUGGUGACCUUCAACACAUGUGAAGAUAUAGCAUUCCUUUUCCCCUUCCAUUUUUCCUUUAUGAUUCCAAUCUUGCUUCGAUGAAAAAGCUGCCCAAUGGGCAAGCUUAAAGCUAUAUAAGUGACUGCCUCAUUCUAACUUAAAUAUUUACCUUUAUUUCAAUUAUUUUUAUAUCAAUGGAGAAGGGAAACAUUUUAGUUGAAAUGGCACAGCAUACACUGAAGUGAUCCACCACCUUUCACUUAGUCCAUAUGUAGUCCAAAAUGCUGCACAUGAGAACCUAGUUUCUCACUGGCCCAUGACCUACUCUUAUAAGCUGAAGUUUUGCGUAGUACCUGUAUUUGAAGAAAAUGGCAUUUUUUUUAAUAUUUGAAUUUGUAUGUGUUGUAUGUUUGCAAGCAAGAGUUAUCCAAAUCUUGUCAUGUAAAAUCUACCAUUUACUUGAUUUUCAUAUAGUCUUUUGUUUUAGAGAUUACAGGUAGUAAAAGAAAAAUCCAAAUUAGGAAAUUAAACAGUGCCAUUUUAUAACAAUAUACCUGGGUAUCUUGAAAAAGUGUCGUUGAUUUAUUAGCAGCAUUUUUAAAAGUCUCACUGCAAACAUAUACAUCAAUUAUAAAAAGUACAUCCAAAUUUUAGAACCAUAAAAAUGCAAAAAUAGGUAUGGUUUAUAAUCAUGGAAAUAUAGGGGAUUUUUUGCUUUUUCUCUACAUACCAAAUGUUUUGCUAGACAUGUCAUUAUACUGAUUCAUAAAUACAUGUCAGUCAUUUAUGCUAUAACACUACUAAAUUCUUGGUGGUCAGCCAUAGAGAAAUUUAGACAAUAGAGUUUUAAGAUGAAAAUCAUUGUGCUCUCCCCCUGUCCAAAUUUCUUGGAAGAGUCCUGCUUUGAGCACUAUAAUAAUGCUAAGGUUCAUGAACCUUCCUCUGUCUCCUCAGGAACUUACCCAGAUCAACAUUUCCCCAUCUUUCAUAGAAUAAAAGGUGGGGAUGUGGUCAGUCUUUCUGAGACAUGUUGCCAAAACAUUAAGGUUAUAUCAAUAACAGAGUAAAUAUAAGAAUGAACCAUCCUUCUAUUAAAAUAGAAUGAAAAGAGACCCAGCUUAAUUUAGAGGUUUGUUUGGAACAUUUUCUCUGUGUUCUGUAGUGACCUAGAGUUACUUCUAACACCACACCCAAUCCCACAAGGGCUUUAAUUGACAUGCUGAUAAUACUGUUUUAAAUUUAGUAAGAAAGGCCUCCCACUACUAACUGUUUCUAUAGAGCAUUAUUGAACUCUUGGGGAAUUUUUCUUCCAAAAAAAGCAUGAAAUUCCUCUCUGAAAUAUUUGCUUCUCUAGGACUCUAAAUGAAAGUGUCUGGAAUAAAAAAAGAGUGAGAGCAAUAAAAAGUAAAAAGGAGGGAGAGACAGAGAUGGGGGAAGGAAGGAGAAAGAAAGAUUUUUGACAAAUGAUCAAUUAAAAAAAAAUCUUUUAUUGUGCUUUGGGUUUGGGGGUACAUGUGAAGAACAUACAGGAUUAUUGCAUAGAUACAUACAUGGCAAUGUAGUUUGCUCCCUUCCUCCCCAUCACCUAUAUCUGGCAUGUCUCCCUAUGUUCAAUUUUUAUUAUAGUUCAUUUAGUGACUUUGUUAUUACCUUUCAAAAGUAAAGCAAUUUUACAACUUAAAAGUUUGUCAUUUAAAUGUUACAUUUACCUUGUAAUUCAAUCAGUAGUAUCCAUUCUCAUGAAAAAAAAAAAAAAACCUUUUGCAUAUUUGCAUUUCACUGAGAAUGUAUUUGACUCUUGCCAAGUGAGAGUGGAAGAUAAUAACAGAAAAAUCCAGUAGUGUGAAUGAAAAGUCUACCAAUUAUUCCUUAUUUCUUCAGAAAUUUACUUCUUUUCAAAUUACCAGUAGUAAGGCAGUAAAUGACUGUUAAUUUCUUGUUUGUUCUCUAAUAAGCAGACAUUGUUGAACUUAAAGCUCUUUUCUUCCUGACCUUUUGGGUUGCAUCUAAACUGCAGGCUAUAACAACUGCUAACUUACAAUUUGUUGUCAUGCUAACAAUUUUUUUUUCUGACAAUAAUUUUCCUUUCACCCCUGUACUGAAUCCUAAGAUGUCCAGAAUAUUUGGGCCAUGUCAGGAUAAGAUAUCUUCUGUUUUGCCAUUUAGACGGAUGACAUACUACCUCCAAGUCUACUAUUACUAAAAAAAUCUAAUAAUCUACAUUUUUUUUUAUUUCCCAAUUCUGUUACUGGGGCCCUGGCCUCAGCCCACUGUGGUCAGACCACAUUCUUCUGUGGUAGAUGCUAUAGUGGCUACCCAAGGAAAUCAUUAAUCACCUAUUCAUAAAUGAAGGACAUGGUUCCCCAGCUGCUGGUGGUGUUGUCUACAGAUAGCUCUACAGGGAUUGCCUUUGUGGAAGACAGCCACUUCACCCAGGCCAUGUGCCCUUUUCUGGGCCAUCACCAUGCUUGAUGGGAGGAUAUAAGGGACUGAACCUGGCUCUCCAACCUGGGACAACUCUGAAUGGCCAUCGUAGUUUCAGAGUCUACUGUAAGGUUGGCUGAAGCCUCCAUUAAGGCUGCAGCCCAACUACUUCCUCUACCCAAUCCUGCUUUCUUCCUUCCCCUCUCUUCUGUAGGCAUUGAUUGAGAGAAUACACUCAAGUGAAGCUUCUGCACUCUAAUCAUCAUCUCAGAGUGCUUCCUGGGAAAUCCAACCUGUGACCCCUUCCUGGUCCCUACUCCCUGGGCUCUACUCUCCCCCACAGCAGUUAGCUGUCACCAAGGAGGCUCAUACAGGUACAAUGUCCCCUUCCCUGGGCCACUGCCUGGGAGGCUGAUGCAAGUGGGAUGUCCCCCUUUCCUGGCCCACUGCUUAUGUAGCUCCCCUGAGCUACAACAUUGCACUCAGCUACAGUCAGUAUUUAGCUGACCCUUGGCUAUGUCAGUUUCCAGCUCUUCCUCUGAGAUUGUUUUCAAUUCUUAUCUCUUCCUUAACCUCCACAAUCAAAAGUUACUCAGUUCUGCUGACUGGGUAAUGAGACUAUCCAGAAGAGCAUAUUCCUUAUCUCUUCCUCUCCUCCCCACUAUCACUACUUAAUGGCCUUCCAUUGUCUGUCUCUGCUUACACUGUGGCCACAUUCUGUUAACUGGCUUCCCUGUCUCUCUGCUGUCCUCCUCUACACUGCAGCCAAAGACACCAUUCCAAGGCUCACAUUUGCUCUUGUCAUUCCCUUGCUGAUCACAGUGUGAUUUGUAAGACAAAGCCUAGACUCAGCACAACAUAAAAGGCCCUCUAUGGUCUGAGUGCAACUGCAUCAGUGUCUCCUGUAACCCUGGACUUUACUCUGGUGUCAUGAAUACUGAAAACUCCUUUAGUUUAAAUUCUGGUAUACAUAUUCAGAAUGUGCAGAAUUGUUAC
ensembl:lncRNA